rnacentral:sRNA from 1 species
UCAUUUAGUUGAACUACAGUUUUGGUGUU